GCCUGCAUAGCUCAACUGGAUAGAGUGUUGGUUUCCGGAGCCAAAGGUUACAGGUUCGAAUCCUGUUGUGGGCG
rnacentral:tRNA from 1 species